UGGGGAAUAUUGGACGAUGGGGGCAACCCUGAUCCAGCAAUGCCGCGUGUGUGAAGAAGGCCUGCGGGUUGUAAAGCACUUUCAGUAGAGAAGAAAAGCUUACGGUUAAUAUCCGUGAGUCUUGACGUAACCUACAGAAGAAGCACCGGCUAACUCCGUGCCAGCAGCCGCGGUAAUACGGAGGGUGCGAGCGUUAAUCGGAAUUACUGGGCGUAAAGGGCGCGUAGGCGGGGUAUCCAGUUAGGGGUGAAAGCCCGGGGCUCAACCUCGGAACUGCCUUUAAAACUGAUACUCUAGAGUCCGGAAGAGGGUCGCGGAAUUCCCAGUGUAGAGGUGAAAUUCGUAGAUAUUGGGAAGAACACCGGUGGCGAAGGCGGCGACCUGGUCCGGUACUGACGCUGAGGCGCGAAAGCGUGGGGAGCAAACAGGAUUAGAUACCCCCGUAGUCC
rnacentral:rRNA from 1 species